CAGAGGUCCCAAGCGUUGUUCGGAUUCACUGGGCGUAAAGGGUGCGUAGGUGGUCGGGUAAGUCUGACGUGAAAUCUCCGAGCCUAACUCGGAAACUGCAUCGGAUACUAUUCGGCUCGAGGGUUGGAGGGGGGACUGGAAUACUUGGUGUAGCAGUGAAAUGCGUAGAUAUCAAGUGGAACACCAGUGGCGAAGGCGGGUCCCUGGACAACUCCUGACACUGAGGCACGAAGGCUAGGGGAGCAAACAGGAUUAGAUACCCUGGUAGUCCUAGCCGUAAACGGUGCACGUUUGCUGUAAAAGGAAUCGACCCCUUUUGUGGCGAAGCUAACGCGUUAAACGUGCCGCCUGGGAAGUACGGUCGCAAGAUUA
rnacentral:rRNA from 1 species